UUACUAUCCCAGCCAUGCAUAUUGCAAGCCUGGUGUUACCUUCUUGACGAAGUGCAGAAAAGCAAAACAAAAACAAUGUUAAAUAGCUAUUUGGAAUGCAAGGUAGCAGGCUAGAGAUUGUCGUGGGUUUGCCUGAAGGAUUAUCUGGUAAUGUCGACGAGAGGCUCCAAGAGACGAGGACGAACCUUCCUAAGGGAUUUACAGUUGACGACGGGGGCAAUAUUGUGGAUGCUAUGAACAUGGCGAUAGGAAAGAUCAGUGAUACAGCUUUGACAUGGAUUUGAGCAAAGAGAUGUGUCACAUGAAGGUGAUUCGGAGGAGGUACACUAGCAGCUACAGCUGGUUCCAACCCCUCCCCUGAUGUGGUGCUAUGGGAGCAAGAAAAAGAGCAGACUCAAGAGUUACCUAUAGUUGCUAAUUUCUAAAAUAAUCAGGCACAAUUGAGCAACCUAUGGACAGUCUUCGGUGUUAGAUAAGUCACUCGAUCUUCAAAAUUGGUGGCUUGAUGUAGGUUCUAUUUCCCAAUUUGAAUAAAUAAUCAUGGUGGUUCAAUGAUCUCAGAAAGCCACUGUAUAUCAUGUACUUAUCAGUUGCCCACCUUGACUCUCAUCUAUCUUCAAGAAAAUGACAUGGAUGAUCUAGAAGAUAUGCACCCUCAAGGAGAAUAGGUCGGGUAAUUGUUUUUGCAUGUGAAUUCUCUUGUUCUUUGUUUUUCAUGGGGGUUAGUUAUUCUGUUUGACAUCUGUUGGGUUGAAGCUUGUGCUUUUACACUAGGAAUCGCGGUUAACUUUUUUUUUAAACGAGGAAUGGUGCUUUAAUUAAAUAUGAAUGCAAACAUUCGGAUACAUACACUGUUUCUAUUAUAAUGUCUCCUAGAUAUGCAUAGUGCGUAUAGAGUUUCGUUUAUAGUGUAACUUUUUAUGAGUGAUUGAUGUCUGAAUUUGGGUAUCUCCUUAUAAGUGUAUUCUGUAUUUUGGCACAUUGCUUACCCUUGAACUGUGUUGUGAUAUAUUGUGCACAAAAGAGCAACCUUAAAACAAUAUUUGGGGAUA